GACGAACGCUGGCGGCGUGCUUAACACAUGCAAGUCGAACGGUGAUGCUCCAGCUUGCUGGAGUGGAUCAGUGGCGAACGGGUGAGUAACACGUGAGCAACCUGCCCCAGACUCUGGAAUAAGCGCUGGAAACGGCGUCUAAUACUGGAUACGAAACUGGCCCGCAUGGGCAUGGUUUGGAAAGUUUUUCGGUUUGGGAUGGGCUCGCGGCCUAUCAGCUUGUUGGUGAGGUAAUGGCUCACCAAGGCUACGACGGGUAGCCGGCCUGAGAGGGCGACCGGCCACACUGGGACUGAGACACGGCCCAGACUCCUACGGGAGGCAGCAGUGGGGAAUAUUGCACAAUGGGCGAAAGCCUGAUGCAGCGACGCCGCGUGAGGGAUGACGGCCUUCGGGUUGUAAACCUCUUUCAGCAGGGAAGAAGCGAAAGUGACGGUACCUGCAGAAGAAGCACCGGCUAACUACGUG
rnacentral:rRNA from 1 species